rnacentral:rRNA from 1 species
UACGAAGGGGGCUAGCGUUGCUCGGAAUCACUGGGCGUAAAGGGUGCGUAGGCGGGUCUUUAAGUCAGGGGUGAAAUCCUGGAGCUCAACUCCAGAACUGCCUUUGAUACUGAGGAUCUUGAGUUCGGGAGAGGUGAGUGGAACUGCGAGUGUAGGGGUGAAAUUCGUAGAUAUUCGCAAGAACACCAGUGGCGAAGGCGGCUCACUGGCCCGAUACUGACGCUGAGGCACGAAAGCGUGGGGAGCAAACAGG